GCCCUGGUGGUGCAAUGGUUAAGCACUGGGCUGCUAACUGAAAGGUUGGUGGUUCAAACCCACCCAAAGGCU
rnacentral:tRNA from 1 species